CAAAUGUACAGGACUACCGUCAUAGAUCUACUGCACUGGAUCCAAGGUUCCAGUCCCGGUCUGUUCAAGUCUCGGUCUCACCUAGACCCUGCCCUAUGCCGGAGGCCAUGCAGUGAUCUCACCACUAGGAUUGUGGCCACUGAAGAGGGUCAAGCCACCGAGCCGACAGGAGCAGACUCUGAGGCAUUUCCUCCACAAAAUAAUUUGGCCAUGAAGGAGCUUUUCGGGGAGACCUUUGUGAGCAAGAACCCAGGCAAGACUUUUGCAACACCAUCAAAGAGGCAUCCUACAAGGCAGCAAGUGGUAUUCCACUGGAUUGUGAUCCACUGACAUGGUGGAAAAGCAAUGAGUGUAAAUACCCUCACAUUGUCAUGAUGGCAAGAUGCUGCCUGACACUUCAGUUCCUAGCGAGAUGGUGUUCUCCACGGCAGGGGACAUAGUGACUGCAAAGAGGUCUAUCCUCUCCCCAGACUAUGUAGACAUCCUCAUCUUUUACAAAAAUAAUCUGAAGUUAAGCUCAGGUCUGCUUUGCUUUCUUUCUUGACUUUUUUUUGAUGAUGUGGACACAGGCUAUUUUUUCAUUCACUGUUCAAAGGAAGAAGGUAUGAUGCCUCAUACUGCACUUUAAUUUGACAAUUGAGUAUUGAAUAUUUUAUUUGAAUAUUUUAUUUAUACCUUAAAGUUUGUUUCUUUAAGUGUUCUUUAAGUAAUAAAUGGAAAGCAAAGUUA